GGAAGAGCCGUAGCCCAGUGGUAGAGCAUCUGCUAUGCAUGCAGAAGGUCCCUGCUUCAAACCCUGGCAUUUCCA